CGCGAUUCGCCCUUCGGGGUGCCCAGGCGCGAAAACUUUGCAAUGCGGGAAACCGUGACAAGGGAACUCUGAGUGCCCGUUAAAUCGGGCUGUCCAUCGGUUUAAAUAACCGGUGAAGAAAGGGCCGGGCAAGACCGGUGCCAGCCGCCGCGGUAAUACCGGCGGCUCGAGUGGUGGCCACUAUUACUGGGCUUAAAGCGUUCGUAGCUGGUUUGUUAAGUCUCUGGGGAAAUCUUCCGGCUUAACCGGAAGGCGUCUCAGGGAUACUGGCAGACUAGGGACCGGGAGAGGUGAGAGGUACUCCAGGGGUAGGAGUGAAAUCCUGUAAUCCUUGGGGGACCACCUGUGGCGAAGGCGUCUCACCAGAACGGCUCCGACAGUGAGGGACGAAAGCUGGGGGAGCAAACCGGAUUAGAUACCCGGGUAGUCCCAGCUGUAAACGAUGCGCGUUAGGUGUAUCGGUGACCACGAGUCACCGAGGUGCCGAAGAGAAAUCGUGAAACGUGCCGCCUGGGAAGUACGGUCGCAAGGCUGAAACUUAAAGGAAUUGGCGGGGGAGCAC
rnacentral:rRNA from 1 species